UAGGGAAUCUUCCACAAUGGACGAAAGUCUGAUGGAGCAAACGCCGCGUGAGUGAAGAAGGGUUUCGGCUCGUAAAACUCUGUUGUUAAAGAAGAACAUAUCUGAGAGUAACUGUUCAGGUAUUGACGGUAUUUAACCAGAAAGCCACGGCUAACUACGUGCCAG
rnacentral:rRNA from 1 species